AUUCGACCACUAGGUGGUGGAAGUUUAUUCCGCUCUGACUGGGAAAAGCCUUCAUUCAAACUGAGAGAAGAAACAAGAGAAUGGCGGGUCAGCCGAGUGAUCGUGUUCGUGGUCUACCGUCCGAAGUGGAUGUGGUUAUUCCGUCAGUUUGUCGAAGAAGCGUCUUCAGACAAACUGCGCGAGCUCCUGAGGUUUUGGGUUGGCUGGGAGGUCCCUUGCCAAGAGCUGAAGCUUGAAGUUGUCCUGUCAACUGGACCUAACCAUAUGCCGACGUCUUCAACCUGUAGUGAGCAAUUACGGCUACCAAGUCACUACACCACCCACCAGGCCCUGUCAGCCGACAUGAAUGUGUGUCUGAAAUCAGUAGAGACAGGCUUUGGUCUUAUUUGAUAAAUAUGUAUUGAUGUUUCAUUUGUUGGGACAAUCACCCAAUGAGAACUGAACAAAACCUCACUCCAAAUCAGUUGUGGGAACUGGGACAGAUCGGACAUUCAGUGGUUGACCCAGAGAUUCCCCAUAUAAACUGGGAGGAAAGUGGGCUUGUUCCUGAUCCACAUGCUGAAUUGCGAGUACCAGAGUUGGACAGCCCACUUACAGAAGAUCAGAUGGAGCUUCUCUGUGAAAACAUUGACCCCUUACAACCUUCAGAGUCUAGUGGCAUGGACAUUUACAUGGAUACUCUGCAAUAUUUGGAAACUUUACUUGUGACAAAUUAGUUGUCACUUAAAUUUAAAUGUUUGUAAUGAACAGCAUUUUCAAUACCAUUUAUUUAAAAAAUCCAUCAAACAUGUACAAAUAUACAAGCAAGUACAAGCUAGAGAAAGAACCAGCUGGCAAAAAUGUUAACUUUAUAAAGUUUAAUGUACACCAGAAACAUGAAAAUUAUUUUAUGUUUGAAUGCCAAACAUUUGUGGAAUAUUUCAGCAAAAAACCACAUGAUGAACAGGGAUGCCUGACAAACAUUUAGUAGUCACCUCAGGAACACAACUUCAUGUCAAGACUGUGUUGAUGGACAUUAUUUGUAAAAAAAAAAA